AAAAAGGUGCAGCACAAAUGAGUGGAGCGUUUUUUUCUUUUCAUUUUUCUUUUUUUUCCCCAAUCUUUUCUGCCCCAUGGUUAAGAGGACUUUCCGUAACACACAUAGUGGCGCGCGUACAGAGUUUGAGAUAAAAAGUGAUAGAAUUACAUUUUGAUGAUUUUUGU
rnacentral:ribozyme from 1 species